UACGUAGGGGGCAAGCGUUGUCCGGAAUUAUUGGGCGUAAAGAGCGCGUAGGCGGUCCGAUAAGUCGGCUGUGAAAGUCAAGGGCUCAACCCUUGAAAGCCGGCCGAUACUGUCGGACUAGAGUCCGGAAGAGGCGAGUGGAAUUCCUGGUGUAGCGGUGAAAUGCGCAGAUAUCAGGAAGAACACCCGUGGCGAAGGCGGCUCUCUGGGACGGUACUGACGCUGAGACGCGAAAGCGUGGGGAGCGAACAGG
rnacentral:rRNA from 1 species